UCAACACCAAUUGCGGCCCAGA
rnacentral:siRNA from 1 species